ACAAGGUAGAGUAGUGCUUAUAAUGAGACCCGCGUUACAGAACUCAACAUCACCAGAAGGUAAUAUAAGACAUUUGGUAUAUCUUCUUGAAAAUGCAAUCCUAAAUCUUCCCAAGGGACAAGAACAAAUGUCUUGGCUCAUCGAUUUCACUGGUUGGUCUAUGGCUGCUAAUGUCCCUAUGAAAACAACACGCGAAAUCGUCUACAUUCUACA